GCCACAGAUCUUGAAAACACUGAAGAAGGCUCCAGUGAAAGCCCAGCUGCUGAGCUCUUGAAUGUGCCACGCCCUCUCCUUCAAAAGGAUAACAUCUUAAAGGGUUCUGUUUGGUUUUCCUGUGUCGCUGAAAAGUAACAAAAAACCCAGGCAUAGUGACAAUUGGCUAACACCUGUUGAGGGCCCCCUGUGGGCCAAGAUUUGGGAAGGCAUCCAAAUCUCUGUUAGCGCUUUAAUCUUCCCUAGGUGGCUAUUGAGGCUCAGAGAGGGUGAGCAGCUGGCUGGGGGUGUGACCGGUGAGAACCCUCUAGAGCUAGGAUCUGAACCAGGGCAAACGGGUGCCCAGGACGAACAGAUUCCACCACCAAUCACGGCAUGAAGCAUUACUAUGGGCACCCCUCUGUGGACUCCUUGUGAGACUCUCUGAAACCGUGUCCUCCCAGGAUUGUCAAAGAAAACAGGAAGCCCCUCCUGGGGAGGCUCACCCCCGCCCCAUCCCCACAAGCCAGGAAGUGACUGGCAGAAAGAUAGACACCUAGCAAGGCCAGGAGCACCCGGGCUGGGAGCCUGGAGCCAUCAUCGGGCGGAGCCCGGAGCCAAGUCCCCUGGGGUCCAAGGGCUGCAUUCCUCCCAGGUCUGCAGAGGCCACCGCUUAAAGGCGCAGAGGAGCAGCUGGGAACGAGAACAAAGCGGCCAGGCCCCCCUCGGAGGAAGGAAGGAGCGAGCCCCAGGAAGCAGCUGAUAACGCUAAGCUCAGCUUGUUUUUUCCUCUGCUCAACAGUUCUCCUGCCACGGCAAACAAAAGAUGUACGUUCUGAUUCCCUCCCGUGUUUGGAUUGCGCCGCUUCUGCUUUCUGAUGAGCUGGGGGAGAGGCAUCCCGGGCAGCUUCUGGCUCGCCUUGCCAGAUGAUGGCAGAGUCCGCCCUGCCUGUCCCCAGCCUAGACGCCUAGCUGCACCAGGCAGGGCAUCGCUUUUGACGAUGGAAUGUGAUGUAGUGAGUGCUGCGGGUUGACUCGUGACCUAGGCUUUGAAGGAACUGCAGCUCAGGACAUGUAAAACUGUUUAGAUGGGAACCCUGGCCUUUCUCAGCUCUAUCGAGAGGCCCCGCCCCGCUAUCGUCUCAGCCAAAGUCACAACCCACUAUUGUGCAAGGGCCGCCUGGGAACACACAAGGUGCAGUCUGCCCUUCCCGGAUCGUGCCACCUUUCUCCCGUGGUUUAGGGCAAUAGUAAUAGAGGACAGGCGAAGAACACCUUCAGGGUCAACUGUGUGUGACAGACAGGUUUUUGGAAAGUUUCUACACCCCAUAAGUCUCUCCGCCCAUGCAGCAAUCCAAAUCAGACCAAAUCAAACUGAAUUAGAAAAAGCCCAUGUUUAAUGGAUACAGCACUCCUGGAUGGCCUUCCAGCCCCCCAGAGAGGAGACAGAAAAUGGAAGAUCAAGAAAACCACAAGUGACUUCCCAUACAUGCAGAGACCAGAAGAGGAAGCUGGGUACCCUGCAACUGAAGACACUGGUUCUUGGGAGCUAGGAGUCAAAGUUAGGUGCUCUGGGAGUGCCUGUGUGCUCUUAUGACUCAGCCAUUCUCCAGCCCUCAGAGCCAUUCUUUAUGUCAUUAAAUUGUCUUUGCAACUGAACUGGAAUGUGUGAAGGGUUGCCACAUACUUCAUAUUGUUAGGAGGCUUCUUGCUAAUGUUUCCCGGCUGCCUGUACUACCAUCUCCUUUCCCACAGAGAAAAGUCCGAGGGCCUAGCAAACACCCUUUCUUCAAAACUAUCAAUCUCCCUGGCCCAGGGGGCCAGUGUAGUGGACAAUCCUGAUUGUGUCAGGUCCUUCAGUGGAUUAUGCUGGGCAUAAAUGAUAUUGAUGUAGUCAAGGAUUCCUCCAGAGGUCUGGGUGAUGGGAUUCCAUGUCCAAGCUAAGUUCUUCCAAAGAUUUGCAUGAGUGGGUGCUUCCCCCAUGGAACGGCAGGAAAAAACGGUAGAAAUGGUCUCUCUGCAGAACCGAAUGACCCCAAUGGGCCAACAGGAUUGUGGGAAGAGGAACCCACUGAACUGGAGUGUAUUUGUUAUUGUAGAUUGUUCUCUGCCAGAUGGCAGCAGGCAGUGGGAGCAGGGAGUCUCCGCUGUCUCGGUUCUCCAUGGUGCCUAGCUUCUUCUUGAUGAAGGGCCCCAGUGACAGCCUCCUCAAAGAGAAGUGAUAAUCCGAAGGGACAUUCCUCUCACAGACAGUUUCAAAGGCAGAGAUCCAUCUGCCUCUGCCUCCGGAGUGCUGGGAUCAAAGUGCUGGGACUAAAGGCGUGUGUCACCACUGCCCAGCGGAAU
rnacentral:lncRNA from 1 species